GUGCCAGCAGCCGCGGUAAUACGUAGGGGGCGAGCGUUGUCCGAAGUUACUGGGCGUAAAGCGCGCGUAGGCGGGUUAUUAAGUUGGAUGUGAAAUCUCUGGGCUCAACCCGGAAACCGCAUCCAAAACUGUUAGCCUUGAGGUAUGGAGAGGGAAGUGGAAUUCCUGGUGUAGCGGUGAAAUGCGUAGAUAUCAGGAGGAACACCCGUGGCGAAGGCGGCUUCCUGGCCAUAUCCUGACGCUGAGGUGCGAAAGCUAGGGGAGCGAACGGGAUUAGAUACCCCGGUAGUCCUAGCCGUAAACGAUGGAUACUAGGUGUUAGUGGUAUCGACCCCACUAGUGCCGUAGCUAACGCAAUAAGUAUCCCGCCUGGGGAGUACGGCCGCAAGGUUGAA
rnacentral:rRNA from 1 species